rnacentral:tRNA from 1 species
CAUCUGGUAGCUCAGUUGGUAGAGCGGUGGACUGUAGAUCCAUAGGUCGCUGGUUCAAAUCCGGCCCAGAGGA